rnacentral:rRNA from 1 species
AUUGAACGCUGGCGGCAGGCCUAACACAUGCAAGUCGAGCGGAGGAAGGGAGCUUGCUCCUGGAUUCAGCGGCGGACGGGUGAGGAAUGCCUAGGAAUCUGCCUGGUAGUGGGGGAUAACGUCCGGAAACGGGCGCUAGUACCGCAUACGUCCUGAGGGAGAAAGUGGGGGAUCUUCGGACCUCGCGCUAUCAGAUGAGCCUAGGUCGGAUUAGCUAGUUGGUGGGGUAAAGGCCUACCAAGGCGACGAUCCGUAACUGGUCUGAGGGGAUGAUCAGUCACACUGGUACGGCGACGAGGUCCAGACUCCUACGGGAGGUGGCAGUGGGGAAUAUUGGAGAAUGGGCGGAAGCCUGAUCCAGCCAUGCCGCGUGUGUGAAGAAGGUCUUCGGCGUGUAAAGCACUUUAAGUUGGGAGGAAGGGCAGUAAGUUAAUACCUUGCUGUUUUGACGUUACCAACAGAAUAAGCACCGGCUAACUUCGUG